rnacentral:rRNA from 1 species
GAUUUAUCCGCAGUUUGCCAUGACAAGUAUCCGCACCCCCGUGAUAUGCCCUACAGUCCCCUGCUUGGGAACAAGGAGCUGGUAUCAGGCACAUCUCUAUGAUUAGCCCACAACACCUUGCUUAGCCACACCCUCAAGGGAAUCCAGCAGUGAUAAACAUUAAGCCAAUAAGUGUAAACUUGACUUAGUUAUGGCUAAAAGGGCCGGUAAAACUCGUGCCAGCUACCGCGGUUAUACGAGAGGCCCAAGUUGAUAAGCAUCGGCGUAAAGAGUGGUUAAGGUUAAAUAAAUACUAAAGCCGAACGCUUACAAGGCUGUUAUACGCACCCGAAAGUAAGAAGUACAACCACGAAAGUGGCUUUAUUACACCUGAACCCACGAAAGCCAAGGCACAAACUGGGAUUAGAUACCCCACUAUGCUUUAGCCCUAAACAUUGAUAGUUUUUUACACCUACUAUCCGCCUGGGAACUACGAGCAACAGCUUAAAACCCAAAGGACUUGGCGGUGCUUUAGACCCACCUAGAGGAGCCUGUUCUAAAAAACCGAA